CAGGGUUGGGUCGACGUCGCAUCUCGGCAGUGAUGAGCAUCCCAGACAACUUGGCCAAGCACCAAGACAACCUGCAGGUGGGUCCCAUCAUAGCCAACAUGAUGGCGAAGGUCAACGGCAGGUCCUAGUGAGCGUCAUGAGCUCGCCGUGCCGCAAACGCGGUGUUGGUGACGCCCAUCCUCGUGGACGACCUCUUCGUUAUUGAAGCAAGGGAGCAUAGGAUGUUGAUGUCUGAUUCAUGACUAUUGGGUGGCCUUCUUCGACUUUCUAGGUUUUUGCUGUUGCAUGGUUGUGGCCCUCGUCCACCCGACCUGCUGCUGCUGGAUCGGUGAGCAAGCUGAUGCUGCUGCCAUGCACCACUCCAGGAACCUCUACAAGGUUGGCGAGGGCAGCUUCAGCC